AAGAUACUGGUGUAAAAACACACCGCCUUGUCAAGACAGAGUUGCGGGUUGGACUCCCGCGUAUCUUA
rnacentral:tRNA from 1 species